rnacentral:rRNA from 1 species
GACGAACGCUGGCGGCGUGCUUAACACAUGCAAGUCGAACGAUGAAGCCGGAGCUUGCUCUGGUGAAUUAGUGGCGAACGGGUGAGUAACACGUGAGUAACCUGCCCUUGACUCUGGGAUAACUGCGGGAAACUGUAGCUAGUACCGGAUACGACCCUCGGAGGCAUCUCCUGGGGGUGGAAAGAAUGUCGGUCAAGGAUGGACUCGCGGCCAAUCAGCUAGUUGGUGAGGUAAAGGCUCACCAAGGCGACGACGGGUAGCCGGCCUGAGAGGGUGACCGGCCACACUGGGACUGAGACACGGCCCAGACUCCUACGGGAGGCAGCAGUGGGGAAUAUUGCACAAUGGGCGCAAGCCUGAUGCAGCAACGCCGCGUGAGGGAUGACGGCCUUCGGGUUGUAAACCUCUUUUAGCAGGGAAGAAGCGAAAGUGACGGUACCUGCAGAAAAAGCACCGGCUAACUACGUGCCAGCCGCCGCCGUAA